rnacentral:rRNA from 1 species
CACGUAGGCACCAAGCGUUGUCCGGAUUUAUUGGGCGUAAAGAGCGUGUAGGCGGUCAGGUAGGUCCGUUGUGAAAACUCGAGGCUCAACCUCGAGACGCCGAUGGAAACCAUCUGACUAGAGUCCGGAAGAGGAGAGUGGAAUUCCUGGUGUAGCGGUGAAAUGCGCAGAUAUCAGGAAGAACACCCGUGGCGAAGGCGGCUCUCUGGGACGGUACUGACGCUGAGACGCGAAAGCGUGGGGAGCGAACAGG